rnacentral:rRNA from 1 species
AGUGAACGCUGGCGGUAUGCCUAACACAUGCAAGUCGAACGGCAGCACAGUAAGCGCUUUCUCUUACGGGUGGCGACUGGCGGAUGGGUGACGCAUACAUCGGAAUCUUCUUUUUCUUGGGUGAUUACGUAGGGCCACUUCCGCUACUACCUCAUACGUCCUACGGCUUAAAGCAGUAGUUCUUCGCACCUUUCGCGAUUCUAUUAGCUGGUGUCGGAUUAGCUAGUUGGCGGGGUAAAGUCCCACCAAGGCGACGAUCCGUAGCUUGUCUGAGAGGAUGAUCGGCCACACUGGAACUGAGACACGGUACAGACUCCUAAGGGAGGCAGCAGUAGGGAAUAUUGGGCAAUGGGCGAAAGCAUGAUCAAGCAAUACCGCGUGGGUGAAGAAGGCCUUCGGGUUGUAAAGCCCUGUUGUUAGGAAAGAAAAGCUGCAGGUGAAUAUACGGAUGUUCUGACGGUACCAAAAGAAUAAGCACCGGCUAACUUCGUG